CUCCUGUGAUUAGUGGCGAACGGGUGAGUAACACGUGAGUAACCUGCCCCUGACUCUGGGAUAAGCGUUGGAAACGACGUCUAAUACUGGAUAUGAUCACUGGUCGCAUGGCCUGGUGGUGGAAAGAUUUUUUGGUUGGGGAUGGACUCGCGGCCUAUCAGCUUGUUGGUGAGGUAAUGGCUCACCAAGGCGACGACGGGUAGCCGGCCUGAGAGGGUGACCGGCCACACUGGGACUGAGACACGGCCCAGACUCCUACGGGAGGCAGCAGUGGGGAAUAUUGCACAAUGGGCGAAAGCCUGAUGCAGCAACGCCGCGUGAGGGAUGACGGCCUUCGGGUUGUAAACCUCUUUUAGUAGGGAAGAAGGGAGCUUCGGUUCUUGACGGUACCUGCAGAAAAAGCACCGGCUAACUACGUGCCAGCAGCCGCGGUAAUACGUAGGGUGCAAGCGUUGUCCGGAAUUAUUGGGCGUAAAGAGCUCGUAGGCGGUUUGUCGCGUCUGCUGUGAAAUCCCGAGGCUCAACCUCGGGCUUGCAGUGGGUACGGGCAGACUAGAGUGCGGUAGGGGAGAUUGGAAUUCCUGGUGUAGCGGUGGAAUGCGCAGAUAUCAGGAGGAACACCGAUGGCGAAGGCAGAUCUCUGGGCCGUAACUGACGCUGAGGAGCGAAAGCAUGGGGAGCGAACAGGAUUAGAUACCCUGGUAGUCCAUGCCGUAAACGUUGGGCGCUAGAUGUAGGGACCUUUCCACGGUUUCUGUGUCGUAGCUAACGCAUUAAGCGCCCCGCCUGGGGAGUACGGCCGCAAGGCUAAAACUCAAAGGAAUUGACGGGGGCCCGCACAAGCGGCGGAGCAUGCGGAUUAAUUCGAUGCAACGCGAAGAACCUUACCAAGGCUUGACAUACACCGGAAACGGCCAGAGAUGGUCGCCCCCUUGUGGUC
rnacentral:rRNA from 1 species